GAUGAACGCUAGCUACAGGCUUAACACAUGCAAGUCGAGGGGCAGCAUUUCAGUUUGCUUGCAAACUGGAGAUGGCGACCGGCGCACGGGUGAGUAACACGUAUCCAACCUGCCGAUAACUCGGGGAUAGCCUUUCGAAAGAAAGAUUAAUACCCGAUGGUAUAAUCAGACCGCAUGGUUUGAUUAUUAAAGAAUUUCGGUUAUCGAUGGGGAUGCGUUCCAUUAGGCAGUUGGUGAGGUAACGGCUCACCAAACCUUCGAUGGAUAGGGGUUCUGAGAGGAAGGUCCCCCACAUUGGAACUGAGACACGGUCCAAACUCCUACGGGAGGCAGCAGUGAGGAAUAUUGGUCAAUGGGCGCAGGCCUGAACCAGCCAAGUAGCGUGAAGGAUGACUGCCCUAUGGGUUGUAAACUUCUUUUAUAUGGGAAUAAAGUUUUCCACGUGUGGAAUUUUGUAUGUACCAUAUGAAUAAGGAUCGGC
rnacentral:rRNA from 1 species